rnacentral:rRNA from 1 species
UACGGGGGAAAGCAGGGGACCUUCGGCCCUUGCGCGAUUGGAUAUGCCCAGGUGGGAUUAGCUUGUUGGUGAGGUAAUGGCUCACCAAGGCGACGAUCCCUAGCUGGUCUGAGAGGAUGAUCAGCCACACUGGAACUGAGACACGGUCCAGACUCCUACGGGAGGCAGCAGUGGGGAAUAUUGCACAAUGGGGGAAACCCUGAUGCAGCCAUGCCGCGUGUGUGAAGAAGGCCUUCGGGUUGUAAAGCACUUUCAGCGAGGAGGAAAGGUUGAUGCCUAAUACGCAUCAGCUGUGACGUU